rnacentral:sRNA from 1 species
AAUGAGGACCAUCUUUUCUCCGGACCACGUUUCCUUUGCGUAAGUCAACGGAUUAGAUAUCGUA